CCCUUAGAUGUUCUGGGCCGCACGCGCGCUACACUGAUGCAUUCAACGAGCCUAUCCUUUACCGACAGGUCCGGGUAAUCUUUGAAUCUGCAUCGUGACGGGGAUAGAUUAUUGCAAUUAUUAAUCUUCAACGAGGAAUGCCUAGUAGGCGCAAGUCAUCAGCUUGCGUCGAUUACGUCCCUGCCCUUUGUACACACCGCCCGUCGCUCCUACCGAUUGGGUGUGCUGGUGAAAUGUUCGGAUCGGCCGUUUGUCGCGGUUUCCGCGUCAUGUGGCUGAGAAGUUCAUUAAACCCUCCCACCUAGAGGAAGGAGAAGUCGUAACA
rnacentral:rRNA from 1 species